GACAGAGGGUGCAAACGUUGCUCGGAAUUACUGGGCGUAAAGGGCGUGUAGGCGGGAAGGAAAGUCAGAUGUGAAAUCCCUGGGCUCAACCCAGGAACUGCAUUUGAAACUCCCUUUCUUGAGUACCGGAGAGGAAGGUGGAAUUCCUGGUGUAGAGGUGAAAUUCGUAGAUAUCAGGAGGAACACCAGUGGCGAAGGCGGCCUUCUGGACGGUAACUGACGCUGAGACGCGAAAGCGUGGGGAGCAAACAGG
rnacentral:rRNA from 1 species